rnacentral:rRNA from 1 species
GUUGAUCCUGCGGGAGGUUGCUGCUAUGGGGAUUCGAUUAAGCCGUGCAAGUCUGAUAGUAAUAUCGGCGACAGGCUCAGUAACACGUCGUUAACAUACCCUUAGGUCAGGGACAAGCACGGGAAACUGUGUGUAAUACUUGAUAAGGGAUGCCUCCUGGAACGGUGCAUCCUUUGAAACUCGUGCCUAAGGAUUGGACGGCGGCAGAUUAGGUAGUUGGCGGUGUAAUGGACCACCAAGCCCGAGAUCUGUACGGGCCAUGAGAGUGGUAGCCCGGAGAGGGACACUGAGAUACUGGUCCCAGCCCUACGGGGUGCAGCAGGCGCGAAACCUUUACAAUGCACGCAAGUGUGAUAAGGGAAUCCCCAGUGCUUAUGUAAUGCAUAGGCUUUUGCCAAGUGUAAAUAGCUUGGCGAAUAAGUGGUGGGAAAGACUGGUGCCAGCCGCCGCGGUAACACCAGCGCCACGAGUGGUAACCACGAUUAUUGGGCCUAAAGCGUCCGUAGCCGGCCUUGUAAAUCUUUUGUGAAAUUGAUCGGCUUAACCGAUCAGCGUGCAAGAGACACUGCAAGGCUCGAGACCGGGAGGUUCAGAAGUAUUCCAGGGGGAGCGGUAAAAUGUUAUAAUCCCUGGAGGACUACCUGUGGCGAAGGCGUCUGACCAGAACGGAUCUGACGGUGAGGGACGAAAGCUAGGGGAGCGAACCGGAUUAGAUACCCGAGUAGUCCUAGCCGUAAACGCUGUGAGCUAGGUGUUGCGCUAACUACAUGUUAGCGCAGUGUCGAAAGGAAGCUGUUAAGCUCACCGCCUGGGAAGUACGGUCGCAAGACUGAAACUUUAAGGAAUUGGCGGGGGAGCACCACAAGGGGUGCGGCGUGCGGUUUAAUCUAACUCAACGCAGAGAACCUUACUAGAAGCGACGGCAGGAUGAAAGUCAACUUGAAGAGUUUACUUGACGAGCCGAGAGGUGGUGCAUGGCCGCCGUCAGCUCGUGCUGUGAAGUGUCCAGCUAAGCCUGGCAACGAGCGAGACCUGUAUCCUCAAUUGCUAACAGCCACAUGUGGGACUGAGCACUUUGAGGAGACUGCCCUGGAAACAGGGAGGAGGGUGCAGGCUACGGUAGGUCUGUAUGCCCCGAAUCUUCUAGGCUACACGCGCGCAACAAUGGUUGGGACAAUGGGAUGCCACUCCGAAAGGAGAAGCUAAACCUCUAAACCCAAUCCAAGUCUAGAUUGAGGCUUGCAACUCAGCCUCAUGACAACGGAAUCCCUAGUAAUCAGAAGUCAUCAUCUUCUGGUGAAUAUGUCCCUGCUCCUUGCACACACCGCCCGUCAAAUCAACCGAGCAGGGUCUCGGUAAAGUGCAGCCUUUUAGUUGUACUGAAUCGAGGCUCAGUGAGGUGGGUUAAGUCGUCACAAGGUA